ACAUGCCUACAACAUAGCGUUAAUGCAUCAAAUCCCAUUAGAACUCCACAGUUAAGCGCACUCGGGCUAGAGUAGCACUGGGAUGGGUGACUUCACCCAUCUCGAGAAGUCCUAGUAUUUUACAUGCC
rfam:Picea glauca, whole genome shotgun sequence.